rnacentral:rRNA from 1 species
GACGAACACUGGCGGCGUGCCUAAUACAUGCAAGUCGAGCGAAUUUACGAGAGCUUGCUCUCGUAAAUUAGCGGCGGACGGGUGAGUAACACGUGGGCAACCUGCCUAUAAGACUGGGAUAACUUCGGGAAACCGGAGCUAAUACCGGAUAAUUCACAUCUACUCAUGUAGAUGUGCUGAAAGACGGUUUCGGCUGUCACUUAUAGAUGGGCCCGCGGCGCAUUAGCUAGUUGGUGAGGUAACGGCUCACCAAGGCCACGAUGCGUAGCCGACCUGAGAGGGUGAUCGGCCACACUGGGACUGAGACACGGCCCAGACUCCUACGGGAGGCAGCAGUAGGGAAUCUUCCGCAAUGGACGAAAGUCUGACGGAGCAACGCCGCGUGAGUGAUGAAGGUUUUCGGAUCGUAAAACUCUGUUGUUAGGGAAGAACAAGUACCAGAGUAACUGCUGGUACCUUGACGGUACCUAACCAGAAAGCCAUGGCUAACUACGUGCCAGCCGCCGCCGUAA